rnacentral:rRNA from 1 species
CCAAUAGCGUAUAUUAAAGUUGUUGCAGUUAAAAAGCUCGUAGUUGAAUUUCGGGAUCAAAUUGUCGGUCGUGCCUCGGUACGCACUGGUAUUAUUGGUUCCUACCCUCUGAAGAACCGCGAUGUCAUUAAUUUGGUGUCGUGGGGAAUCAGGACUGUUACUUUGAAAAAAUUAGAGUGUUUAAAGCAGGCUUACGCUUGAAUACAUUAGCAUGGAAUAAUGAAAUAGGACGUUUGAUUCUAUUUUGUUGGUUUCUAGGAUUGACGUAAUGAUUAAUAGGGAUAGUUGGGGGCAUUAGUAUUCAAUUGUCAGAGGUGAAAUUCUUGGAUUUAUUGAAGACUAACUACUGCGAAAGCAUUUGCCAAGGAUGUUUUCAUUAAUCAAGAACGAAAGUUAGGGGAUCGAAGACGAUCAGAUACCGUCGUAGUCUUAACCAUAAACUAUGCCGACUAGGGAUCGGAUGAUGUUAAUUUUUUAUUGACUCAUUCGGCGCCUUACG